rnacentral:rRNA from 1 species
UACGUAGGGGCAAGCGUUGUCCGGAUUUAUUGGGCGUAAAGAGCGUGUAGGCGGCCAUACAGGUCAGCUGUGAAAACUCGAGGCUCAACCUCGAGACGUCGGUUGAAACCGUAUGGCUAGAGUCCGGAAGAGGAGAGUGGAAUUCCCGGUGUAGCGGUGAAAUGCGCAGAUAUCGGGAAGAACACCCGUGGCGAAGGCGGCUCUCUGGGACGGUACUGACGCGUGAGACGGCGAAAAGCGUGGGGAGCGAACAGG